UCAUUCUUGGGUGCAAAAGCUGAUGGGGGAGGGGUGCAGCGAUGUUUUCUCAGUGCAGUUAGGUUUAAAGAGUUGGUAAUGGAGAGAUUUCAUGGAUACACGAGCACAGUCAUUGAAGAUUACUUCCCAAAUCUUGUACCAGCUGCAAACCAGCCAAGCAGAGUGAGCAGAAGUAUUUGCAUCCAAUCUCCGGUUGCAGCUACAAUUAUGCUGGUGAAAUCAUGAACCAAAUGCGUUCAGUGAUGACGCAGAAGAAAUACUGACCUUGUGAAAUAAUCUGAAUCAGUGAGAGUUCAACGGAGGUGCCGCAGGAUCAAUGUGGAUGAAAGAAUUCCUCAACCUGCUAAUGACAAGACUAUUGAUGACCACGACAGAUCAUCAUUCAGAAGUUGGGGCAGCAAGGUGGUGCUGGUUGUGUCACCGUCUGAUAUGGAAGUACCAAUGACCAAGGAUGGAAAAGCAGACAAAAAGUAGUGGAUGCAGCCCGGCCAUCACAGGUAAAGCACGUCUACAAGAAGCACUGUCACAAGAAAGCAGCAUUCAUCGUCAAGGACCCCCAACAUCCAGGCAUGUUCUGUUCUCACUGAUACCAUCAGGAAGCAGGUACAGGGGUCUCAGGUCCCAUACCACCAGGUUCAAGAACAGUUAUUACCUUUCAAGCAUCAGGCUCCUGAGCUCCUGAACCACCAUGGAUAACCUCACUUACCUCAGCACCUGAAGGUUCACUUUGAAGGACUCCACAACUCAUGUCACAGUAUACUUACUUAGUUAAUUUUUUUUUUGUAUUUGCACAGUUUGUAUUGUUCUGUUCAUUAGUAUUUAUUCAAUCUUGGUGUGUGGUUUUUCAUUCUGAGUCCGAGGCCUCCAGCGGUCAGGGUUGACUAUGGAUAUUGUGUCCUAGCUGUAUAGAUACGCAAGUCUGAGCAGUACAAUAUGGAGAGCAAGCUGUUGCCAAUGUAGCAAGCUCCCCCUCUCCAUGCAUCUGAGGAACCCAAAGAAACAGCAGAGACCAAUACAGUCAGUGCCAGCAGCAUCUCAGGAGUUGCCAGUCAGCAUUGAACUCAAUGUAGGACUGCCUUAGGGACUCCAGCUGCAGAUAUUUCCCCUCUGGGUUUACUCCCAAAGCCUUUCCCAUGAGUAUGUAUAGCCGCAACGUAGGGGAGGUUUGAGAUCAGAGUUUUCCUUUCCCUAGAUGAGGUGCCAACCACGGCUGACGAGCCCCGUGUGCCCGAAGUGACUGGUUUUAAGGUGCCAGUAACCCUGCUUUGCCCCUUCUCUUCUUAGUAGAAAUGGUUCCGCAGGGCUUAGUAGCUAAGGCACACGUAAAGGCCAAAACUGGACUUAGUUCUAUUUCAUUGGUUCUAUUUACUUGGUUUCUUUUCAUUGAUUCUACCGUAUUUUUUUGAUCUACUGUGAA